AUUUCAAAUGUGAUAUCGAUGGACCUUUACAUCGCUUUCCCAAAUGGGAAUAUCCUCAUACAGAGAAGUUUGACCAAUAGAAAUCUGUACUUGACAAUACAAUUCAAGAAAAAGGAAACAAUUAUAUUUACAAUUCCAUUCGUAUAUGCCACAAACAUUUUGAGGAGUACUUCAAAUCAUCAAGCAGACGAUUGACGAGGAAUACUGUCCCUAUAUUGAACAUAAUUGGUGCCUGGGAUUAAAUCGAUUAUUAAAUGGAAAAUGUUCAAAUUUUGAUAGGAAU
rnacentral:misc_RNA from 1 species